GAUGAACGCUGGCGGCGUGCCUAAUACAUGCAAGUCGAGCGAAUGGAUUAAGAGCUUGCUCUUAUGAAGUUAGCGGCGGACGGGUGAGUAACACGUGGGUAACCUGCCCAUAAGACUGGGGUAACUCCGGGAAACCGGGGCUAAUACCGGAUAACAUUUUGAACCGCAUGGUUCGAAAUUGAAAGGCGGCUUCGGCUGUCACUUAUGGAUGGACCCGCGUCGCAUUAGCUAGUUGGUGAGGGAACGGCUCACCAAGGCAACGAUGCGUAGCCGACCUGGGAGGGUGGUCGGCCACACUGGGACUGAGACACGGCCCAGACUCCUACGGGAGGCAGCAGUAGGGAAUCUUCCGCAAUGGACGAAAGUCUGACGGAGCAACGCCGCGUGAGUGAUGAAGGCUUUCGGGUCGUAAAACUCUGUUGUUAGGGAAGAACAAGUGCUAGUUGAAUAAGCUGACACCUUGACGGUACCUAACCAGAAAGCCACGGCUAACUACGUGCCAGCCGCCGCAGUAA
rnacentral:rRNA from 1 species